GAAACAAAAGCAGAUUGAGUAUC
rnacentral:siRNA from 1 species